AGGACAUUUCAAGCCUUUCUCGGGUAUUUUGCCUCUUACUCUUCCUCCUCUUUUCUGUUUCUUUGUGUUUUGGGGUUGGUUUCUUGUGAUGUGUGCUAUCUGAUUAUGUUCUAUUACGUUAUUUGGAUGAGUAUCACCUUUUUGGCUCGCAAGAAACUCUGUUAUGACGUACAUUCUCUGUUUUCCAAUUUUAUUUUUGUGAUCACUACUUUCAAUGAAAAUGUGCCAUUCUUGGUAUUGGGACGGUGGGUUAUGCUGAACUCCAUGAAAGAAUAAAAGGGUUGCGAUUCUGUUCAAAGUAUCACUCAUAUUCAUUCAGUGGGCAUAUUUAAUAUAGGUAAUGCUUUCAUGGGUCACUGAGAUUUACUUAACUGCGGGACAUAUUUGGAUUCAUAUGACAAAUUGUAUUUUGAAUCCAUUGAAAACCAUUUUUUUCAAGUCAACCAUUGUGGAUUAUUUAUGCUUUCCUCUCUCUAUAUGAGAUGUCGAUGAGCGUGAGUCUGACAAAUUUUAGUAACCAUGCAUGUGGAAAAGGGAAUCCGUCAAUGGAAAACCAAGAAAUGGCAUAUACCUGGAAAGGGUCCAAAAUUUUCAUGAUUUGAUUAGCAGUAUAAAAUUUGAAAAUGAAAACUUUUAACAAAUGUUUUGUUUCAAGGAUGGUUGAUUUUUAAUUCCUUAUCCCCCUAUUCAGAAUCUAGAAUUUUACAAGAACUCAAUUCAAU
rnacentral:misc_RNA from 1 species